GUAUAGAUUUUCAUAGGCACAACAUUCUAUUGACAUACAUUGGGGUAAAUGAAGCAACAUAGACCUGAAAGGCCUACAAAAAGUGCACAGGUGGAGAUAUAAAGAUGACAAGGCGUGCACAUGCUCCCUAGAGAACCAGCAACAACCCAUCAGGUUUAUUUCAAUAAUGAUCCUUCCGCAGGUUCACCUACGGAAA
rnacentral:misc_RNA from 1 species